GCGUCGGUCUCAUUCUUCGUUUAGUCAUAACAUUCCCCGCCUAACCUUUUCUUCCUCUCUUCUCUUUUCUCUUCACUUCUAUACUCUUCUUCUCUUCUCUCUUCACUUCUAUUAGGAAUUUAUCGCCAUCCUUCUCAUUCCAUAUUUCUUUUGUAAGCAUAUAUCCUUCAAGAGCUCGAACUAUCUGCUUCAUUUUUGGACGAAACUUUGAAGGUUUNNNNNNNNNACAAAAAAUCAUUACUUUCAUUUCCUUUUCAUUAUAGUUCUUUUUCAAUAAUCUGGAAUCG
rnacentral:misc_RNA from 1 species